UACGUAGGGGGCGAGCGUUGUCCGGAUUUAUUGGGCGUAAAGAGCUCGUAGGCGGCUUGGUAAGUCGGGUGUAAACCCUCCAGGCUCAACCUGGAGCCGCCACUCGAUACUGCCAUGGCUAGAGUCCGGUAGAGGGUCACGGAAUUCCUGGUGUAGCGGUGAAAUGCGCAGAUAUCAGGAGGAACACCGGUGGCGAGGGCGGUGGCCUGGGCCGGUACUGACGCUGAGGAGCGAAAGCGUGGGGAGCAAACAGG
rnacentral:rRNA from 1 species